UUAAGAUCACAAGCCUUCCCGCACCAUCGCUCGCCCCCUCAACCACCUGUCUCUGCGCUCUCCUCCCCCACGGCCUUCCUCAACUCCAGGGCGCCCCCCCUCUGCAGCAGAGGGGGGCACCACGCCCACUGCGGAGCCCAGAAGCGGAAGGCCGACCUCUCCGGCUCCAGCUUCAGCGCAGAGCGGCUCCCGCCCACCGCGUCUCCGAAGGAGGUCCCAGAGCCUCUGCGUGAGUCCCCAAUUCUCCCGUUUGGCGCUCUGACCUUGCCUCCCUUAUUGACCUCAAGGCGGUGGAGACGGUAUAGCACAACGGAGUGUUCCAGAGGCCACAUAACAUGUAAUAUGACCACAGAUUGAAUAUAGAAGCAUUUGAGAGAAUCAGCAGUUUGUAUUAAGCAGAUAGUGAAGAAAUUUACCAAAUUGCGAAACAAAGCUUCUCCUUUCCUGACUUGCUUUUGUCCUGGAAAGUAUAAUUAUUUUCCAUUAAAAUGUGUACAUUUAUAUACUCAAUGAGGUUAUUUUUAAAUGAAUUAAUGAAAAGGUUGAAAUGUUCUCGGUUUUACUUUCUGAUAUGGUAAUUAUCGAUGGGGAGAACUCUCACUUCUGUAUGGUGUCAGAGGGCUUUGAGAAGAGCUGGCCUCCAGCAGCCUGGCUCUGCAGCUUCAUCGCUAGUGAUUUCCUCUCCUUGCUCAUACUUUUCACAUGAACAUCCAGCUCCAGACAAGAUGAAGCAGAUCCACUUUCUCCCUCUUCCUCUGGUUAAGUGCUUCCUAAAAUCCUGAACAUCACAGAUACAACAAACAUCUGAAAGGCAAAGCCAAGGCUAGGGACCUCAGGACUCAAGGAGUGACACGGCACCAAGGUGGUAUCAGCAGAGACCUAGCGGGGUUGCUGAACUUCUGCUCUGGUCCAGCAAUAACGAGAUGCCUGCCACUCCGCAAGUGUCGACGGCUGCAUGGAGACCCUAGACUUUUAUCCCCACUUGGCGGUAGCCAGGAGGUCACCCUCCACCCCGCCCCGCCCGCCCCGGCAGAGCAGUAGGAAAGAGGCCCUGCUGAAACAGAUCAGGCUCACAACACAAUACCUGAAGUGUCCAAGAUGCAAUUUAAAAUCCCUCAUGAUGCCAAGAACCAGGAAAAUCUCAACUUGAAUGAGAAGAGAUAAUUAGCAGAUGCCAACACGGAGAUGACAGAGAUGUUGGAAUUAUCUGACAAGGAUUUAAAAACAACCGGCAUAAACAUGCUUCACUGAACAAUGAUAACAUUGCUCAAUAACUUAAAAUAAAAGAAUGAAUAGCAAGUCUCAGCACAGAAACAAAAGAUGGAAAGAAGGAUCAUAUCGUCUGCUGCUGCUGCUAAGUCACUUCAGUCGUGCCCGUCUCUGUGUGACCCCAUAGAUGGCAGCCCAUGAGGCUCCGCCAUCCCUGGGAUUCUCCAGGCAAGAACACUGGAGUGGGUUGCCAUUUCCUUCUCCAGUGCAUGAAAGUGAAAAGUGAGAGUGAAGUCGCUCAGUCGUGUCCGACUCUUUGCGAACCCAUGGACUGCAGCCCACCGGGCUCCUCCGUCCAUGGGAUUUUCCAAGCAAGAGUACUGGAGUCAUACCAUUUACUUGCGCAUUUAAAGCAUCACUCGUGUUUCUGGGAUGGCCACCCUCAGCUUGUGCCUGGGCCAAGGCGUCUGCCUCUUCUUAGAACACCCGUCUCUCCUUUUUAAAUCCUGCUUGUCCCCGGGGUCAGCUGAGAUGUCACCUCCUCUGCGAAGCCUUCCUUGACUUCCAUGCCCCUUCCUCCCGAAAGCUCCCUACACCAGAGCACUCACAUUCAACUCCAUUGAGUUGAGUCUGUCAUCUCUCCCUCCACACAUACCCAGUGUAAAACCUUGCCAGAGGGACUGUGUCUUAUCCCAGGUGCCUGGCAUAGUACCUGGCUUAAAAUAAGCACUCAGAAAACUGUUGAAUAAAUGAAUAAAUCUG
ensembl:lncRNA